GAGUGUGAGGCUGGCGCAGAGCAAUCCUGGUGGCGAGUGGCGAACGGGUGAGUAAUGUAUCGGAACGUACCUUUCAGUGGGGGAUAACGUAGCGAAAGUUACGCUAAUACCGCAUAUUCUGUGAGCAGGAAAGCAGGGGAUCGCAAGACCUUGCGCUGAUUGAGCGGCCGAUAUCAGAUUAGCUAGUUGGUGAGGUAAAGGCUCACCAAGGCGACGAUCUGUAGCGGGUCUGAGAGGAUGAUCCGCCACACUGGAACUGAGACACGGUCCAGACUCCUACGGGAGGCAGCAGUGGGGAAUUUUGGACAAUGGGGGCAACCCUGAUCCAGCCAUGCCGCGUGAGUGAAGAAGGCCUUCGGGUUGUAAAGCUCUUUCAGCCGGGAAGAAAUCACAUGGGUUAAUACCCUGUGUGGAUGACGGUACCGGAAUAAGAAGCACCGGCUAACUACGUGCCAGCAGCCGCGGUAAUACGUAGGGUGCGAGCGUUAAUCGGAAUUACUGGGCGUAAAGCGUGCGCAGGCGGUUUGUUAAGAUAGGCGUGAAAUCCCCGGGCUCAACCUGGGAACUGCGUUUAUGACUGGCAGGCUAGAGUAUGGCAGAGGGGGGUGGAAUUCCACGUGUAGCAGUGAAAUGCGUAGAGAUGUGGAGGAACACCGAUGGCGAAGGCAGCCCCCUGGGCCAAUACUGACGCUCAUGCACGAAAGCGUGGGUAGCAAACAGGAUUAGAUACCCUGGUAGUCCACGCCCUAAACGAUGUCAACUAGGUGUUGGGUGGGUAAAACCAUUUAGUACCGGAGCUAACGCGUGAAGUUGACCGCCUGGGGAGUACGGCCGCAAGGUUAAAACUCAAAGGAAUUGACGGGGACCCGCACAAGCGGUGGAUGAUGUGGAUUAAUUCGAUGCAACGCGAAAAACCUUACCUACCCUUGACAUGUCCAGAAGCUCUUAGAGAUUUGAGUGUGCCCGAAAGGGAACUGGAACACAGGUGCUGCAUGGCUGUCGUCAGCUCGUGUCGUGAGAUGUUGGGUUAAGUCCCGCAACGAGCGCAACCCUUGUCGUUAAUUGCCAUCAUUCAGUUGGGCACUUUAACGAGACUGCCGGUGACAAACCGGAGGAAGGUGGGGAUGACGUCAAGUCCUCAUGGCCCUUAUGGGUAGGGCUUCACACGUCAUACAAUGGUCGGUACAAAGGGUUGCCAACCCGCGAGGGGGAGCUAAUCCCAGAAAGCCGAUCGUAGUCCGGAUCGUAGGCUGCAACUCGCCUGCGUGAAGUCGGAAUCGCUAGUAAUCGUGGAUCAGCAUGUCACGGUGAAUACGUUCCCGGGUCUUGUACACACCGCCCGUCACACCAUGGGAGCGGGUUCCGCCAGAAGUAGGUAGCCUAACCGCAAGGAGGGCGCU
rnacentral:rRNA from 1 species